rnacentral:lncRNA from 1 species
GACUGGCUGGACUCGGGCUCCACUCACCGCUUCUCUGCCGUGGGCACAUGAGGACGGUGGCCGGGUGACCCGCAGGGACCGGCCCUUCCGGUUCCGGGAAGGACGCGGACCCGUUCUUCACACAGAGCCUUAAGUGAGGGAGAAGCCGCCGCACACCUUUGUGACAGCUGCCUGCCCCCUGUAGGGCUGCCCUGCCUCCGGCCUCCUCGGGGCCGCCUUCACUCAGCACUGGAGCCCUGUGAUCAAUUUGCUUUCCAGUAUGUAGUGAUGCUCCCUCAGCCAAUUUGGAGAGGACUUUCCUGUUCCUCCUGGCCCAUCUCCAUCACUGGGUUUGGAUCCUAGGGUACCAAGAAGGACCAGAAAGAAGUAGUCCAGGGAAGGACCAGGGCACAGUCACAAAUCAUAGCAAAACCAAAGUGUAAAGCUCAGUGUCUGACUUCUGGGAUAGUCUUCUGAACUUUAAAGGGCUUGAGGACUCCACCUUCAACAAAUGAUGCUGGGAAGGG